rnacentral:rRNA from 1 species
CCCUUUGAUGUUCUGGGCCGCACGCGCGCUACACUGACGAUGGCAACGAGUUUUUCCUUCGCCGAAAGGUGUGGGUAAUCUUUUGAAACAUCGUCGUGCUGGGGAUAGAUCAUUGCAAUUUUUGAUCUUGAACGAGGAAUUCCUAGUAAGCGCGAGUCAUCAGCUCGCGUUGAUUACGUCCCUGCCCUUUGUACACACCGCCCGUCGCUACUACCGAUUGAAUGGUUUAGUGAGGACUCCUGAUUGGCGCCGCCGCCCCGGCAACGGAGCAGCGGACUGCCGAAAAGUUGUUCAAACUUGAUCAUUUAGAGGAAGUAAAAGUCGUAACA